GUUUGCUUGUGUGUUGAUGGUGUUUAGCACCAGGGACAGGUACGUUUGCUUGUGUGUGUGGAUGGUGUUCAGCUGCAAUGGCAGGUAUGCUAUAGC
rnacentral:pre_miRNA from 1 species